rnacentral:misc_RNA from 1 species
UCCGAGUUGACCCCGGCAGUCUCCCAUGAGUCCCCGCCAUUACGCGCUGGCAACAUGGAACGAGGGUUGCGCUCGUUGCGGGACUUAACCCAACAUCUCACGACACGAGCUGACGACAGCCAUGCACCACCUGUGAUCGAGUCCCGAAGGAAAACCGUGUUUCCACGGCGGUCACCAACAUGUCAAGCCCAGGUAAGGUUCUUCGCGUUGCGUCGAAUUAAACCACAUGCUCCGCUGCUUGUGCGGGCCCCCGUCAAUUCCUUUGAGUUUCAAUCUUGCGAUCGUACUUCCCAGGUGGGAUACUUAAUGCUUUCGCUCAGACACACACAGUGUAUCGCGUAUGUCGAGUAUCCAUAGUUUAGGGCGUGGACUAC